rnacentral:ncRNA from 1 species
GGUCAUCCGUUGGGGUGCCCUGGACAACCAGGGCUGAGAGGUCUGUGACCAACCCAUCGAACCUGAUCCGGUCAAUACCGGCGGAGGGAACGGAGCACAGCAGACG